UAAACUUUUAUAUUAUAGCUGUAUGUCACUGCAUUAUCACGUUCACCUCCGUUCCUCUGCACCUGGUUACGUCCUCCCGGAAGCAAGAUCCCUAAGUGCAAGCCCUUGCAAACAACAGGUCAAGUCAUCAUGAAGGCCGUUGCUUCAUUUUUGCUUAUGUGGCAUAGCGGGCGAUUGGCGUAAUCUGCCCAUGGCGGAAGUGCCAAGAGCUAUUGAUACAGCGUUAUGGUGCUUGAAGUUCUUCUUGAGUAUCUAAGGUGCUUUAAGUCACGUUUGCUUACAAAAGGAACUGCGGCCCGAACAAGGGCGCCAUGGAACUAUCAUGGGGGGCUUUCCUUUGACAGGGCUAAGCCAUCCGUAGCUUCUUCUUUCGAGGUCAUCCAUCGAUGCACCAUCAUUGUCACCCAGCACUGCUGUGAGCAGCGAGAUCGUGCGCCGCCCAGCUCCCUAUCACCCUAUAUCCCUCCCGUUCACCCUCGCCUGUUAGCCCCUUCCCGCCACAUUUCCGUUCCCUAUCACUUGUUGCCACUAGGGGCACUUUUACCUUGAACCAUCGGAAGGAUUUUCAACCCUAACAAGUUACAAGUUCCACACUUGCGUGCGGAACCCGCACUUGCGUGCGAGUAUUGAUGCGGGUACACAAGUGGUGCUCGGUGCCAUAACCAUGCCCAAACCCAGCCUGGCUACCGGUGCGUAGCCUGUUGCCCUCACAGUAAUUGAUAAGUCGCCUCCCGAUGAUAUUGCGUAAUGUUUGCAUAGUGGGCCCCCAACCGCAAUGCCCCGAUAACUGUCGCAGCAGGACGCGUCCCCCUUUUUGUAUACGGGGAAAAGGGUGCUAGUCGUGAAUAAGUCGUGAAUAAUCAGCUCGCGGAUAUUCAGCUCCAUAUAUGCGGUUGCAUAGCACCGUUAAGUAAGGCGCCAACACAAACACGGGCCGCUGCCCUUCACUCUCCCUGAUAGCGUACCUAUAAUACUCGGCCGGGGUUCCCUCCAGGCCCACGGACAGGCUAUGUUGCGCAUAGCGUUGAGACCGCUAACAAUUUCGCCCUCCGUAAAAUCCUUGUUAAGCCAAGCAGCUAAUUCCCGUCGGUGCAUCACCCGGUCCUCAUCCUGCCAUUUAUUCUGUAUACCCUCGUUUGCAGCCUUGCCUCACGCUUCCCGCACCCUUAAGCACCUUGGAAAAAUGCUCGGUAAAAGCAUUAAUAUCUGAGAUCCAGCAAUCAGGCGGUUUUCCCCCACGCAGCCAUGUCCACAAGCCGCGUGGGUUGGACAACGUGGCCUUAAUCGCCCUCCGCAUAUUUUCCAAUUCGGUCUCCUGAAUAGCUGCCUUCCUAGUAGCCUUCUUAAAGACACGAUGCUUGGCCUUCCAGGUAGCCCUAUGAAUGUCCGGCAGCUUGCCCGAGACGGGGUCUCUGGCUCCUUACGGAAACUCAUCAUAUCAUUCCGCACAGCGGCACAGUCCUCGUUCCACCAGUCACGCUUCACAAAAUUCACCUUUCCCCAUGCGACGCCGAACAUCUCCCUAGCACACGUCCCGAUUAGGGUGCGCAAGUCAUUCAUGCUUUCAUCACAAGAGGCCCCUUCUCCUUGAGUUAUCCUGUCCUCCCCACCUUACACACACACAGACACACGCACGCACACACAAGCACCCUCUCUCUUCCCAACGCAUCCACCCACCUUGUUCACAGCCACCCUUCGCCCCUUCUCCCCCCCAAGCACACACACACACACACAGGUACAUGAGCGUCUACUCAUGUACCUGUAACACGGCUCGUUCCACAGGCUGCCGUACCCCCAUGAUGCGGCAGUGCAGAGCGUCGCAAACUUGGUUGGUUUACAUCGCAGUGAACCGGAUGCGGAGACAGUAGAGCUCUUUGGCCGGUAGAGCUCUUUGGUCAACCGUAAUCUAUGGAAGUUGCCAUCAUAGCGUAACUGCGCGACAAAGCAUACGUUUUUCAAUUAUGCUUUGCACCAUCAACAUUGCUGACACGAAGAGGGAAGGUCUUUGGCCCAAACAACAAAUCUUUCCUGAGAAUGAAUUCACACAGCGAAAGUGCUCGAAUGAUUGAGGAGGGAUCGUGGCCAGCUCUGCAAUGUGAAAUUUGAAGCCGA
rnacentral:lncRNA from 1 species